GUAUCCACCAGUAGAAACCUUCGUUGCCCGGAUGCAGGCAGAGACUGUCGGCAGAACGGCAACAUUUUUUUU
rnacentral:ncRNA from 17 species